GUCCACACGGUAACGAUGAAUACUCGCUGUUGCGAUAUACAGCAAGCGGCCAAGCGAAGCGUUAAGUAUUCCACCUGGGGAGUACGCCGGCAACGGUGAACUCAAAGGAAUUGACGGGGGCCCGCACAAGCGGAGGAACAUGUGGUUUAAUUCGAUGAUACGCGAGGAACCUUACCCGGGCUUAAAUUGCAGAUGAAUUACGGUGAAAGCCGUAAGCCGCAAGGCAUCUGUGAAGGUGCUGCAUGGUUGUCGU
rnacentral:rRNA from 1 species